UCUCAAACGGACGUUUUCCAUCUCCGGCUACUGCGCAUGUCCCUUUUAAAAAUAAUUUCCAUGGUUACUGGAAUCCGUUCUUGCAGUAGCCUCUGCGCCUGCGCAGACCGAGCUCCAGCCUCCGUUGUCCUGGCGCAGAGGGGGGAGGAGUAGCUAAGUGGGCAAGAUGGCGCUGCCCAUGCUGCAGGUGUCUCUGAUGUGAGAGUCUGUCAGAGCCGGGAAAGCGGCAGUUGGGGGGCAAGCUUGGGCCCCCUUGGCUGGAGGGCUGGGCUGUUCCCAGCCCCCCAGGAAGGUGUCACACAGGGCUGUGCUGCAGGGACCCAGCCUCUAGGGGGGUUCCUGGGGGUGGGUCUCCGUGGGGGAGGAGAGUUUUUGUGGGCCCCCAAAGAACGCUAUGGGGCUUCGGUGGGGGGUGCCUGCUGGGUCCCCAAAAGGGUUGCCUUGGGUGGCGCUGGGGAAGGUAUUGGGGUCUCCCUGGGGGGUGCCCUUUGGGUUGAAAGUGGGAUUUUUUUCAGGCCCCCCAAGCAGAGUGCAGGGUUCCCGCCCCACAAGAGCCUCACUAGGUGUGCCCCGCAGCAACUUCCUCUGCUCUCCUAGGAAGCUCCCCUCUUUGGGGGGGCUCUCUCGUGGCUUGGCCAAAGCAGCCGGGACCAAGAGCACCCGGGACCUCCGAGAAGCUGACGAGGCGGCUCCCAUCUUCCAAUAUGUGGGGAAGCGAGCCCCGAGGAAAGACCGUGUCUAUGUGUGGGGCUUCUCCUACUCAGGGGCCUUGGGGGUCCCUUCCUUCGUCGUGCCCGAUGUGGGCUGGAAGAAACGGCGGAGGAUCCAGCUGACUCCAUAUCGGCUGGAUGUGGAGGAGAAGAUUAGCUCUACUGCCUGCGGCUACGGAUUCACGCUUCUGUCCUCCAGAACCACCGAUAUUACCAAAGUCUGGGGAAUGGGGUUAAAUAAAGAUUCGCAGAUUGGAUUUCACCCAAGCAGGAAAGAUCGGGCAAAAGGCUACGAAUAUGUCUUGGAGCCAAGCCCUGUGCCGCUGCCACUGGAUAAGCCGCAGCAGACCCGGGUUAUGCAGGUAUCCUGCGGAAGAGCGCACUCCUUGGUGCUGACGGACACAGAAGGAGUCUUCAGCAUGGGGAAUAAUUCCUAUGGUCAGUGUGGCCGGAAGGUGGUCGAAGGCGAAAUCUACAGCGAAAGCAAGCUGAUUUACAGAUUGCAAGAGUUUGAAAACCGAGUCGUCCAGGUUGCAUGUGGGCAGGACCACAGCCUUUUCAGAACAGAGAAAGGAGAAGUCUAUUCCUGUGGGUGGGGAGUCGACGGCCAGACGGGCCUCGGCCAUUACGACAUUGCCAGCACCCCCGCCAAACUGGGCGGCGACAUCUCGGGUGUUCCCAUUGCCCAGGUGGCCACGUAUGGAGACUGCUGCCUUGCCGUGUCUGAGGAUGGGGACCUCUUUGGCUGGGGGAACUCGGAAUACCUGCAGCUGGCUGCUGUUACGGAGCUGACCCAGGUGAACGUUCCACGACACCUUCCGUUCAAGGUUGGAAGGGUGAAGGAGGUCUGCUGUGGAGGGACCAUCAACGCUCUCCUCAACGAGGAAGGCCACGUCUUCGUGUGGGGCUACGGCAUCCUUGGGAAAGGGCCGAAGCUUUCGGAAGCAGCGACUCCCGAAAUGAUCCCGCCCGUCCUCUUCGGCUCGUUGGGCUUCAGCCCGGAUAUCUGCGUGGCUCGGAUCCGUUGCGGACUCAGCCAGUUCGCUGCCAUCACCAACCGAGGAGAGCUCUUCGUGUGGGGCAAGAACGUGAGAGGCUGUCUGGGGAUUGGCCGAAUGGAAGACCAGUACUUCCCGUGGAGGGUGACUGUACCAGGAGAAGUGGUGGACGUUGCCUGUGGAGUCGACCACAUGGUUACUCGGGUGAAAUCCUUUAUUUAAGCAGCACUUGGGCGCCACAACAGAGAGGACAAAACCAGAACUGUUUCGGGCCUUGGUGGCUUUGUCAGCCAUCUGGGGCUGGCGCAGCUUCUCCCAGAGUUCCUUGCAAACAGACCAGCAGGAGGCACGGUGUAUCGGUGGCCGAAUCCCCUUCGAAGUGGAUGGUUCCCUGCGAGCGAGAUGCCUAGUUUUUUGCAAGCAGUGGCUGACAGAGACGGAGUGAUUAAUGUCAGAGGGAAGUGCCUAGAGGAAAAUGUUGCGGCUUCUUGGGGGAAUUCCGAAUAUUAAAAGACGACAAGGAAUGGAGAAUGUAAUUUGGUUUUCGAUCAGCGUGGAGAGAUUGGGCUGAGAAAUCAUUUCCCCUCAGAACACCAGAGCUUAAGUCAUCCAGCUGAAAUCCGACUGACUAGAUUGCAAACACACCAAAACAGGAAGCACAGCUUCAGCCGGCACAAGAGCAGCAUACAGAACUCAUUGCCACAAGAUGUGAGGAAGCCAAUUAACAGACCCUCUGACAAGGAAAUAUGCACAUCUCUGACAACGAGGGAUUAGUUUACGACCCCUAAGGUUUUUAACAUCCGAUAAUCAGAUCAACAAUUCCAAAAUGACAAGAUGUCCAAAUAGCCCACCAGAGGCCUCUGGGAAGCCCACAGACAGGAGAGGAAGGCCCCCUCUCCUGCAACUGGUAUCUGGAGACAUCCUGCCUUUGAACCUGGAGGAAACCCAUAGCCAUCAGGGCUAGUAAUCAUCGACAGACUUCUCCUCCAUGGAUUGGUCUAAGCCCUGCUUAAGGCCAUCCAAGCCGGUGGCCACCACCACAUCCUGUGGCAGAGAACUCCACAGAUAAAUUAUGGUUCUAGUGCUGUGAGAGAGGGAGGAAAAUCUCUCUCUCUCUCCACACCAUGCAGAAUUUGAGAAACCUCUAUUAUGUCCCACCUUAAUCGCCUUCUUUAAAAUGAAGAACUCCCAGAUGUUGCAGCCUUGCCUCAUAAGGAAGGUGCUACAGACUCCUGAUCACACCAGCCCAGUGGCUCAUAGCCAGCCCCUGAAGGACAAAGUGAGGGCUCCUUAGGGUCCUCAGCACUACUGAGCAAGGACAUGGCCAGGAUCCACUUUCCCUGCAAAGAAAUGCAGUCUGCUACAGACCACUGCUGGAGCGACGUCCGUCUGAAAGCUCUUCGCUCCAACUCCCUUGAUUGCUCUCGUCCUGAACCACCGACGCCCGACCUCAGCUCGUGCCUGCUCUCAGAUUUAUCUCUUGCAACACUGAGAUCCCACUCACCCUCCAAGGAGCCCAGAGCAGUAUCCGUGCUCAUGCUUAGCCUCACAACAACCCUGCAAGGUAGGCGAGGCCGAGAGAGAGACGCGACUGGCUCAGAGUCACCCAGAGAGUUGCAUGGCCAAUUGAGGAUUUGAACUCGGGUCUCGCCAAUCCCAGUCCAACACUCCACGCCACACUGGCCCAUACGGACCUGACCCCAACCUCCGCUUGUGCUUGUUCCCACGUGGACUCAAUCCUUCAACGUUUGACCUCAAACAAGACUUUUACUUUGGUCUGCUCCCUUGCAGUCUGGUUUCUCUAGCUCCUGCCCUCAACUUCACAUGGUUCAGCGCCUACUCACAUGUGAUCAGCACUCCUCGUCCCCAGGAGACAUGAUAAUGGGGAAGGCACUCUUUAUGCAGGGGGCCACUGCAGAGUCGGCCCUGACCUGCUGCCUACCCUUCUUAAGUGCCGAAAGCCUCAGGAAAGAAAAUGGCCGCCGUUGAAAGGAGAAUACGGCCCUUCGGGGGCCCUGAUCCCAUCUCGAUGAAUACUGCUAACAGAGUACAAAUUUAGUUAUUUUGUUGUUUUCAUCCCUUCUUUUCUCCACGCUGUUUUGGGGUAGUAUCAUGACAACUAUUAAACAAGCUGGCAUGUCUAAGCCAAAGUUUGGCAUUUUCCAGCCCAAGUUCUCAAUGUGGUCUGGACGGCAAAAGGUGUGAGAAAAUGGUUCCCUGUCCCCAAGGGGCUUGCAGUCUAAAAGAGAGCCAACGAAAAGCCACUCGCACAAGAGAGACACCAGCAGUGGCCCGCGGAGGGGCGCUUUGCUGGGCUGGAUAGGGCCAGUUGCUCUCCCCCGGCUAAAUACGAGAGAGCCGCCAUUUUGAAAAGGCGCCCACUCUUGGCCCAGUGAGCAGCUGCCAUUUAACGAGGCCGACCCUUGCCUGAGGGGGAGAAACUCCUAUUUUAUUUAUGGAGCACCUAUCCAGCCUGCUUUUCCACAGAAAAACUCCCACAGCAGUUUCCAUGCCAGCAGCCAUGAAAAGAUGGUUCCCUGCCCCAAAGAGGCUCCCAAUCUAAAAAGAAACACCAGGGAGACACCAGCAACAGUAACUGAAGGUAUGUUGUUCAGGGCUGAAUAGGGACAUUUGCUCUGUCUGUGUUCAAUACAAAGGUCUCCACUAAAAGAGUGCCCCAUUAGUAAGGGGUUCUCCCUUUUUAUCAGCACAACAACCCUGUAAGGUAGAUUAGAUGGAGAGUGAGUGGCAGGCCCAAGUCACCCAGUGAGUUUCAGGCUGAGAGAGGAUUUGAACCUGCAUCUCCCAACGUCUAAAAAUAAAUAUUUUAAAAAUAAAACAAAGUAAAAUAAAAAAGACUAUGCCCUUAUCUCCUUGAAGGAAGGAAAGGAUCAGAACAUUCUUAAUUUUUUUUUUUUUUUAAAGCAAAGUUCCUAGUCAACUCAAGUUAAAGGGAAGGCGGGGAAGGGGGAUUUAUUCCUGGUCUGCAGUAUAAAACUCAAUACAGACUACCCACAUUUAUCCAAAUUGAAGGCGACUCUGAAAAACCCUCAUCUUGGAUUGAGGAAAACACAACAGCUGCCAAGUUAGGCUGUUUAGAAUCAGAGAUUCCAGGAAGGUUGUAAACUGAAUAGUCCAGGCUUGCAAGCAAGUCCACAAAAGUUGAUAUCCCAUAAAAAUAUCUAUCAACACAUCUCACCAUUUGCCCGUCCCGCCUUAAGUUGGUUUGUGGCAUCCGAGGACCACAGAAGCACACAAUCCAUACUUGCCAGUGAUACAGUCUAGGAAUUUCUUGACCUCGAUUCUGUUACACUGUAUUAGGUUUCCCUUCUAGGAUGGGUCACAGGCCUGCUCAACUUAGCCCCCCCAACAGCUGUUUUUGAACUACAACUCCCAUAAUCCCUGCCAUUUCCCUCCCACAAGGAUCACACCCAUUUAUGACAGGUAGUAACAAUUCUUCUCAAGAACCCUGCGAGGCGGGUCACUAAGACUCCCAUUUUAUGGGCUGUCAGCCAAGAUGGCCAAACUGUGGCUUGGGGCGAGAAUGAAAAACCGGAACAGAUGUGAUCAGGCUUUCUCCAGCUGAAUAAUCCAAGUUCUCUCGACAGAAGUCUCCUGUUUCAGAGAUUCGUGGUGUGAACAACAACUGUGCGAGGAUAUAACCAGACACUGCUCUGGAACACAGCAUUUCAGACAAAUGACAUAUUUAAAUGUGACCAGUGGCGUUUUUAUCCGAGUCCCAAAAAGGGACCAGAUUAACAACGCCAUCCCGUCUGUCACCCUCCAUCGACAAGGAGGAACUGUCUUGUUCAAAAAUAUUUAGUGUGGUAUUUUAGGCUGAAUGCCCUGUCUGUCGGGUUAUUCGAGAUAAGUUAUAAACAAGUUGAACGACUGUCAAGGCCCAGAUAGAGACGCCCCCCCCCAUGCAAUAAAGUCAAGAUUAGGGAGAAUUAGGUGACAAAUAUACCCCUUCAUUGAGGAGCAAAGAAAGAACCUUGCCUUGGGUUUCCAAAUUAAUCUGCAAUGCAAUUUUAAAACAGCACACAAGCUUCUCCCCGCUGUCUCUGUGGGCCACCGAGGCUGUGGAGUUAUUAAAAACGAAAUCCGAAGCACGAUCCAAGAGGCAAAGUGAAUGCACUUAAUUGUGGAAGCCAAGUUUAGGCAGGAUUUCUCUGAAGCCAACUUCCUCGCCUCUCUGCAUUAACUAACAAGGGAAAACAGGGUGGGGAAUAAACAAUUCUGUAUUUACUCUCCAUUUGCAAUUUAAGUUAUUUUUCCUGGAAGAGGGGACCAGUGGGGAGAACCCAGGCUCACUGGCCUCAAGGA